CGGACCCGGAAGUGGAGAGCGCGGAGGGAAGGUCACGCAGCAGCGGAGCAUUAAACAGAAGGUUUUCAGCUUGAAAGAUUGAUCUCUGAAGACUCCACUUGUCUGAGGAAGAAGUCGGGAAGAAGAGGAAGAAGAAAGAAAAGGAGUCAGGAAUGGCUCCUUCUCAGGAGCAUUAAACAGAAGGUUUUCAGCUUGAAAGAUUGAUCUCUGAAGAAUCCACUCAUCUGAGGAAGAAGUCGGGAAGAGGAGGAAGA
rnacentral:lncRNA from 1 species